GUCUGGCUGAAAGGAGCGGGCGCGCCGGGACCACCCGGCGAUGCUGUCGCCGCCGCCGCCGCCUCUGUAGCGAGCACCCGAGCCCGCCGCGGAGAAAGGCUGAAGAAAGCUCAGUCUCAAUUGUGUUUCCUGCCUGUCAGCCUCUUGCCUCCUAAACGUGUACCAUUUCCACUUGAUGUCAUCACGCAGAAGGGGUGAAAGAGACUCGGUGACAGAUACAGUGUGGUUGGCAGGUGGACCCUGCUCAUCGUAGUCACUCAAGGACUCAAACUGAUGGAGUCUUGGUCUUGAUGUGAGCUUGCAAGAUCAUUGCAGCAUCGGGAAGGAAAUGCUGCAGGGUCUUGCUCUAGCAAUUAUGUGAUCCUACCCAGAGAUCACGUUUGGCUGCUAAGGCCUGGACUACGUUCUUCGUGGAGUUGUGAGGGGGCUGCUUGUGAUCGCCUAGGAGUGGAGAGGA
rnacentral:lncRNA from 10 species